GGACGUGGGGGUGAUCUGGCUUUGACAUCUGUCACCCCAUUGAUUGCCAGUGUUGAUUUGGCUGACUUGGCUGGCUAAGCGGGUGUUCCCUUCCUCCCUCAGGGCUCCAUCUGCUUCCCUCCUAAAGCUGCACACCCAGUCAAACAGUCCAAACCCCCACCACCCAUACCGUGUCCUCAGUCAAGGGUAUGUGAGUAGCUGUGCUCCCCUGCUAGAACCUCCAAACAAGCUCUCAAAGUAUAAUUGCUCUCCUUAUACUAUAUUUGAGUUUGAACUGUUUUAGGUCUUAGUUUCUUGAGGUGCAUCAGUAAGUUAUUUAUUUGUAUUAACUCUUUCUAC
ensembl:misc_RNA 7SK 7SK RNA